rnacentral:tRNA from 1 species
GUUUCGAUGGCGAAAUUGAUAAACGCGAUUGCCUCAAAAGCAAUUUUCGAAAGAAUUGUGAGUUCGACUCUCACUCGAAACA